CGAGGGGUAACAUAGUUGCUUGCAACUGAUGACGACCGGCGCACGGGUGCGUAACGCGUAUAGUACCUACCUUAUAGUAAGGGAUAGCCCAGAGAAAUUUGGAUUAAUACCUUAUAGUAUCUUAAGUGAGCCUUCACUAAGGAUUAAAGAUUUAUCGCUAUAAGAUGGCUAUGCGUUCUAUUAGCUAGUUGGUAUGGUAACGGCAUACCAAGGCUACGAUAGAUAGGGGUCCUGAGAGGGAGAUCCCCCACACUGGUACUGAGACACGGACCAGACUCCUACGGGAGGCAGCAGUGAGGAAUAUUGGACAAUGGAGGCAACUCUGAUCCAGCCAUGCCGCGUGUAGGAAGACUGCCCUAUGGGUUGUAAACUACUUUUAUAGAGGAAGAAACCA
rnacentral:rRNA from 1 species